rnacentral:rRNA from 1 species
GAGGUGUCGCGUAUAGGCGCCACUACCCGACGCCCGCUGCCGUCUGAAGUUUGCUGGAAAGCAGCCGCAUCCAGAGAGGGUGUUAGACCCGUCUGGACGGGAGCGUCGUUGGCAGGUGGUGCCUUGGAGUCGAGUUGCUUGGGAGUGCAGCUUAAAGUGGGUGGUAUACCACAUCCAAGGCUAAAUAUGACCAAGAGACCGAUAGCGAACAAGUACCGUGAGGGAAAGUUGAAAAGAACUUUGAAGAGAGAGUUCAAGAGGACGUGAAACCAUACCGCGCUAUGAUGACCGAAGCUGAUUGAGGUGAUGAACCCGUUGCGGUGAUCAGUGCUUCGCGCCUUGUCCGAGGCGUGCGCGUCUUGACGCCGCAGCUGCGGCGUGCGCGCGCGUCCUGCCGGGCGGCGCGUUGCACGCACUCAUCGUACGGGAGUACGUCGAGGGGCCCGUGGCGUGCCUUCGGAACCAUCGUGCGUGGCCUGCGCCGGCGGCAUCUCGCUGCCUAGGCCGGGUACCUGCGCGGUGGGGAGGUCGGUCACGCUCGGGUCGCGUGUGCUCUUCCCGAGAACCGAGCCGUAUGGCGCGGCCGGCGUCGUCGAAUAGCGUCUCUUCGGUGGCCCAGCGGGUCCGCUUCCUUUACCGGGGCGACCGCUGGUGCUGCCGCGCCGGCGACGUCUUCUGGCCGCCGCUGUGCUAUCCUGCGGUUCCGCCUCGGCGUCAGAGUCACUCAUCAAUCUGACCCGUCUUGAAACACGGACCUAGGAGUCUAAUAUGAGCGCGAGUUAUUGGGCAAGUAAACCCAUUAGCGAAAUGAAGGUGAAGAUGCGCGCGCGCUCGCGCGCGCGCGAUAUGUGAUUCGUUGGUGCCGCGCGCACGAYGACGCAACAUAGCCCCAUGCCGACUGCAUGCAGUGGUGUGGCGGAGGAGCGUUGAUAUUGGGACCCGAAAGAUGGUGAACUAUGCUUGAGCAGGAUGAAGCCAGAGGAAACUCUGGUGGAGGUCCGAAGCGGUUCUGACGUGCAAAUCGAUCGUCUGACUUGAGUAUAGGGGCGAAAGACUAAUCGAACUAUCUAGUAGCUGGUUCCUUCCGAAGUUUCCCCCAGGAUAGCUGGAGCUCGCGUGUACGCUGUUAUAUUCGGUAAAGCGAAUGAUCAGAGGAAUUGGGGGCGAGAUGUCCUCAACCUAUUCUCAAACUUUCAAUGGGUACGACGUUGCGGUUGCUUAAUUGAAUUGCGACUUCGAAAGAGAGCUCUAUGUGGGCCAUUUUUGGUAAGCAGAACUGGCGAUGCGGGAUGAACCGAUCGCGCGGUUAAGGUGCCUAACUCUCCGCUCAUGAGACCCCAUAAAAGGCGUUGGUCGAUAUUGACAGCAGGACGGUGGCCAUGGAAGUCGGUAACCGCUAAGGAGUGUGUAACAACUCACCUGCCGAAUCAACUAGCCCUGAAAAUGGAUGGCGCUUGAGCGGGGGACCUAUACCGCGCCGUUGGGUGGCUUGAACGCGGACGGGGCCGUACGCGGCGCAGCGUCACGCCUCAACGAGUAGGAAGGUUGCGGUGGUUGGCGUCGAAUGCUUUGGGAGUGGUCCCGGCAGGAGCUGCCACCGGUGCAGAUCUUGGUGGUAGUAGCAAAUAUUCAAGUGAGAUCCUUGAAGACUGAAGUGGGGAAGGGUUCCACGUGAACAGUAGUUGAAUGUGGGUCAGUCGAUCCUAAGAUACUGGCUAAUGCCUUUUAUCAACGUGAGGCUCUUUGCUCUCGUAGCCGAGGCCUCGGACGUCAAAAGGGAGACAGGUUAAUAUUCCUGUACCUGAAUUCGGAGAUUCGCGUGCUCGCGUUCGUCUUCGCGACGGCGUGGCACCUCGAGCGGUGACGCAAACGAACUCGGUGACGUCGAGUCAAGUCCGGGCUAGAGAUCUCUUUUCUAGUUAAGGAACGGACUCCCUGGAAUCGGUUCAGCCGGAGAUAGGGACGUUGUUUCCGUAGAGUGCCACGGUUUCUGUGGUAACCCGUGUACUUGGCUCGACCCGUGAAAAACCGAGGGAGUCUCUAAUCUCGAAUCAGAUCGUACCGAUAUCCGCAGCAGGUCUCCAAGGUGAAUAGCCUCUAGUCGAUAGAAUAAUGUAGAUACGGGAAGUCGGCAAGUUCGAUCCGUAACUUUGGGAAAAGGAUUGGCUCUAGGGACUGAGUUGCUCGGGCUCUGCAGCGAAACGUGUGCGGCUGCGGUGACGAGUGGGCUCGCGAGAGUUUGCUCCAAUGUCGUUGCUGCCUCGUGGACUUGCUCUGCUUCGUGCGUACGCCUCGCGGCGUGCGCGCUUCGGGCAGCGGCUAACAGUCGACCUAGAACUGGUACGGACUCGGGGAAUCCGACUGUCUAAUUAAAACAGAGGAAACAGAUGGUCCUCGCGGACGUUGACUGUUUCUGAUUUCUGCCCAGUGCUCUGAAUGUUAAAUUGGUGCGAACCAGAUAAGCGCGGGUAAACGGCGGGAGUAACUAUGACUCUCUUAA